rnacentral:lncRNA from 1 species
AACGUUUCAUGGCGAAAUCUUAGGCGUACAUUUUACAGUUGUUAUCACAUCGUUCAAAAUUUGAAAUCCCUGAAAACAUAUCCUACUUCAAUCUUUCCUUCCUCUCUCCCCAUAAGAAGCCCUAACACGCAUCCACCUUGUCAUUUUAUACUGCCAUAUACAGAGAGGUGUUGAAGAUCGGAAAAUCUCUACACACACUCACCACUCUCGCUCAAUACAGGUUGAAAUCUCUGUACCCUUGAAGGUUUAAUCGUUUAAGCUACCACUCCCCGUGCCAUCACCAUCAACAACCACACAUCGCACCAUGCCAUCAGGAACCACUCUUCUGUUUUUUUUGUUUUCUAUUUUUGAAAAUCCAGUUACGCCUCCUCCUAACUCGAAAUCGAGUUUCAGUUGAUGGAGGUUUGCUCCUAUUUUUUUCCCUUUCUACUAUGGUGGUAGAGUCUUAGUCCCAAUAAUACGAUGUUGGAGUUCAGUUAUAUUCCAGUGAAAAAAAUUUACAGGAAGGGAGCCAAUCGCAAACCCUAGGCGAUUUCAUUUCUUCAAACAAAUAUGUUUAUGAAAUAUCUUUAAUUUCAUGUUUUAUUAUGUUGAAUUUCGUUUGUUUAGUUAACCAUGGAUAUUGUCAAAAAAAAUUCAGAGGAUAUGGCCGAGAUCUUGAUUUAUCUAUCUUUUGAUGUUUUUGUUAAUUUUAAUUUUAAUUUGCUAUAUAUUGUUCAUUCUUCAAAUUAUAAGGAUAGUUUUUUUUUUUGUUGUUACAGGAAAAUGAAUUUCACCGGCUGCUCCAAGUUUCAAAAACUAAGUCUAAUCACUUGCUGUCUUCUUAAUUUCCAUAAUAUGAAAAUUUUACCCAAUUAUGGUAUAGUAAUUUCAUAUUAUUUCUAUAAGCCAAUCUGUAAAGUUUUUUCUUAUUAUGUACUUUGAGAAGUUUGAAAUUACAACUUCUAGAGCAUGCUAUAUUUGUCUAAUAUUAUCCAUUUUGGUGUCAUUGUUGAUUGUAGGUAAAGUGGAUUUGUGUUGGCUUUGUUGGAAAUUGUGCAUACGUUUUUUUACUUUUGCUGAUUUUGUGAUGUAGGCCUUGCCGAAUUAGCAAAUUGCUGAUUACCCGAAUUAGCAAACUGCUAAUUACCCACCAAAAUUGGUUCCAGAACUGUUUGCAGCAAUAAUUUUGUUUUGGAUUCAGGUACUAUAAUUUUGUUUUAUUUAGUUCUAAAUUAUAAAUAAUAAAAUGAAUAACUUUUGAUUCUCAAGUCCGUUUUAACCAUUGUAAUCAUUGCAUUUAUUUAAUCUAUUAUUUAGUUAUCAUAGUUUUAGGUCACAUGUAUGUAGGUUUAUUUUUUAUUGCUAUAAAGCACAAAGAAAUGAUAGUAGGAUGCUAUAAAGCACAAAGAAAUGGAAGUAUGUUGCUUUAUUUUUUAUUUUUUUGGGCUAUUAGCUGCCAAAAGGCCAAAUUUGUUUAAUGUCAAAAGGCCAAAGUUUUGUUUUAUUUUGUCAAACUAAUGGAUUUUGUUCUUCCUGUAUCUAGGUUGGAGAUAACUUUAGUAAAUUUGGGGUUUUGCAUUUUUUUUGCUACCUAAUUCUAAUGCUACCAUUUACUUUUAUGUGUUUUGUAAUGAAAUACUCUUAUACUUUGAAUAAGAUGGGAGUUAGUUACUUACAUAUUUUCUUUCUUGCAAGCGUGUACUGAUGCAAAAUAUGUAUGAAGAUACCACGAUUUUAAAACUCAAAAAUACUAAAAUUUCUAUUUAUAUAGACAUAGAAAUUAAUCAUAAAAAGGUUAUUUUAUGAUUCAAAUAUAAAUGAGCAAUGAUAGUACCCAUUAAAAAUGAUGAUUUUGCUUUCAUGUUUUUGUCAUUUCCGUGUAAGUACGAGUGUUUGAUACUUUCUUUGGAUAUAUUGUAAAAAAUAUAUUAAUUUGUUUUAACAC